UAAUCUCACUACGAUCGACUUUGGUCUUUUCGUAUGUGGACUUGGAUGUUGCCGUGGAUGUCUACGGCUCGUCUGAAAUGCUUCAGUGUACCCUGCAGAGCGGCGUAUUCGGUGUGAUACAUCUUCACCGGAGUUGAUCCUUUAUUGGGUCGCGUCUCUAAUGUGUGGCUCUAUGCUUCCAACCGUCUCUAACGGGACAAUCUCUGACA
rnacentral:misc_RNA from 1 species